rnacentral:rRNA from 1 species
AUCAACUUUCGAUGGUAGGAUAGAGGCCUACCAUGGAGGAACGGGUAACGGGGUGUUAGGGCACGACACCGGAGAGGGAGCCUGAGAAACGGCUACCACAUCCAAGGAUGGCAGCAGGCGCGCAAAUUACCCAAUCCCGGCACGGGGAGGUAGUGACAAUAAAUAACAAUACGGGGUCCUUUCGGAUUUCGUAAUUGGAAUGAGUACAAUUUAAAUCUCUUAACGAGGAACAAUUGGAGGGCAAGUCUGGUGCCAGCAGCCGCGGUAAUUCCAGCUCCAAUAGCGUAUAUUAAAGUUGCUGCAGUUAAAAAGCUCGUAGUUGAAUUUCGGGACCAUCAUGUCGGUCGUGCCUCGGUACGUACUGGUAUUGUUGGUUUCUCCCUUCUGACGAACCAUGAUGUCAUUUAUUUGGUGUUGUGGGGAAUCAGGACUGUUACUUUGAAAAAAUUAGAGUGUUUAAAGCAGGCUCACGCUUGAAUACAUUAGCAUGGAAUAAUGAAAUAGGACGUUUGAUUCUAUUUUGUUGGCUUCUAGGAUCGACGUAAUGAUUAAUAGGGAUAGUUGGGGGCAUUAGUAUUCAAUUGUCAGAGGUGAAAUUCUUGGAUUUAUUGAAGACUAACUACUGCGAAAGCAUUUGCCAAGGAUGUCUUCAUUAAUCAAGAACGAAAGUUAGGGGAUCGAAGACGAUCAGAUACCGUCGUAGUCUUAACCAUAAACUAUGCCGACUAGGGAUCGGAUGAUGUUAAUUUUUUAAUGACUCAUUCGGCACCUUACGGGAAACCAAAGUGUUUGGGUUC